UCCCCGUCAAUUCAUUUGAGUUUUAACCUUGCGGUCGUAAUCCCCAGGCGGGGUGCUUAAUGCGUUAGCUGCGGCACGGAACCCGUGGAAGGGAUCCCACACCUAGCGCCCAACGUUUACGGCGUGGACUACCAGGGUAUCUAAUCCUGUUUGCUCCCCACGCUUUCGAGCCUCAGCGUCAGAAACGUUCCAGAGCGCCGCCUUCGCCACCGGCCUUCCUCCCGAUCUCUACGCAUUUCACCGCUACACCGGGAAUUCCGCGCUCCUCUCCCGUCCUCUAGCCCGGCAGUCCCCUCCGACUGUUCCAGGUUAAGCCUGGAGAUUUCACAGAGGGCUUACCGAACCGCCUACGCUCCCUGUACGCCCAGUAAAUCCGAACAACGCUUGCCACCUUCGUAUUACCGCGGCUGCUGGCACGAAGUUAGCCGUGGCUGCUUCUGGAGGUACCGUCCAAAUGGGUUACCCCAUUCCAUCUUCCCUCCCGAAAGGGGUUUACAAUCCGAAGACCUUCAUCCCCCACGCGGCGUCGCUGCGUCAGGCUUUCGCCCAUUGCGCAAUAUUCCUUACUGCUGCCUCCCGUAGGAGUCUGGCCCGUGUCGCAGUGCCAGUGUGGCUGAUCAUCCUCUCAGACCAGCUACGGAUCGUCGCCUUGGUGAGCCGUUACCUCACCAACAAGCUGAUAGGACAUGAGCCCAUCCAAGAGCGCGAGACCCACGGCCUCGCUUUCCUCCCUGAACCGAAGUCCAAGGAGCGUACGCGGUAUUAGCUAACCUUUCGGCUAGUUAUUCCCCACUCGAGGGUAGGUUACCCAUGUAUUCCUCACCCGUUCGCCGCUUUACAAACGUAUUGCUACGUCUUCUCGCUCGACUUCCAUGUAUUAGGCGCGCCGCCAGCGUUCGUUCUGAGCCAUGAUCAAACUCU
rnacentral:rRNA from 1 species